ACCCUCUCGCCCACCACACGCGGAGCCCGCUGGAUCCUCUCCACAUCCAGGCCGUGUCCACCGGCUUUCCAACCUGCUCACGUCCUUAAAGAAGGAUCCAGAAGGUGUUGCGGUAUUGGCCCAUCAGGAUCUGAACCUGAGGCCCGCUCUUACCCUAAUCAUAACCCCAAAGCCACCAGCGCGUGGAGAGACAGUGAGAGAGAAACAGAGACGGAGAGAGUGUGUGUCGCUGUCAUGCCCUUUGCCGUCGCUGCUCAUCCCGAGUGACCUCCUGGAACUUUUUCAGCUCUUGAUGACAGGAAGAGACGGGGGCAGAGCUAACGUCUGAGUCAGGGCACAGGCGCUGGGCUCCAUCCAAGGGAGGCCAUGCGGGCGCCUCUGGGAUGGAGCCAAUCACCGGCGCAGUCGGAUGGAAGGUGGGCUGGCCGCUCAGCCAUCCUCCUAGGGCAAGGUCUUGGGUAUGAGUCAGCAGCCCCAGGUGUGAGCGCAGACCCGGUAACCCCGGCGCAGGGGAAAAUACAGCGGGGAGCCCCAGGCUGCAGGCCUGACCCUGAGCAGCCCCUACCGAGCCCAGUGUGGAUGGGCUCUGUCUCCACAGGGCUGGUUCACCAGGGUCUCCCCGCAGCGACCCCAGAAUUCUGCAAAUCACUUGGGUAGGGCAAUGAGCUCUAUCCACUUCGGAAUCAGCCAACUCGCGCCGGAUUGGAGGCAGAUGUCUGAAAUGUCAGCGGAAGUGCACACAUGGGAGGCUCGUUGGUCUAGGGGUAUGAUUCUCGCUUCGGGUGCGAGAGGUCCCGGGUUCAAAUCCCGGACGAGCCCUAGAAGUGGUUACUUUCCCCUCGUCAUUUUGGAGAAUAUAGAGCUUGAAAAUCGGGGACCGAGCCUGAAGCCUCAUCCACCAGUCGCGUUGCUCUGCUUCAGGUAGGUCCGGGUCUGUGCCUCAGCUGCAAGGGACCAGGAUGCUCCCGAGGCUGGCCUGGUAGGCACUUGCCUCAGCCUCGCUGGAGCCCCGCGCCCUUCUCCUUCCCAGCCCCAGACCAGAGAAGCUGUACCCUCUGCAGCCCGGGUCACUCAGCUCCACAUGGGCUCCGGGUAUGUGGGAGGCCAGUGGUUGGGUUCUGAGUGAUCGUGUGGGGUGCACGAUCCGGGCGGGCCCUGGAGAGUUAUUCAUUCCUCGACCUCCCCUCCUUGCCCUAGAAACCCACAUCUCUGCAGGCCAAGGCGGAGUCACAGACGAAGCUCAUUGAGAGCAGGUCAAAGCUGUGUGACCCGAUGGCCCCCUACUGCGCUGGCCGGGAAGGUAGCCAGAGCCACAUAUGGCUCUUAAACACCUGAAAUAUGACUGGUCCACUUGAGAUGUGCUGCUGGCUCGGACCCUGGGCCUGGCUAACAAAGAAACAAGCAGCCAUGACUCAGCGAUCCCAGACCACAAACUGCCCCAGCAAGCAGGAAGCCCCGAGGCCUGUUUGAGGUGGCAGAGAAGGGGAUGUGGUUCCUUGGCCACCGCGGCUCAGGUGAGUUGCCCACAGUCCUGGGAUUCGAGCCCCACUCCUGCCCUCCGUUUCCUCAGGUCGUAACUCUAGAACUUUGGCUGGUCUAGGGAACUCAGCCCCAGAAUCGGGAGUCCUUACUGACAUAGGAGAUGUUGGAAAUCGGAGAAGGCCUGAUAGGAGCAGCCGAGUCACCUAAUGCCUCGGAUCCAGGAGCCUAGCUGACAACGCAAACCCUCUAGGUGUUUGAUAUUGUGAUUCACCAGAGCAGGAAGAAGUAAAAAACCAGAAAGCCCAGGUGGAAGGCCCAGUGCUGGGGCUGAACGUGAGGGGUCACCCCAUACACACUCCCCUCUGGCUGCUGGAAAAACCUGCUGAGGUUAGAGCUGCCCUCAGCCCCGCCCACUUUUUCUUUUCUUUUCUUCUUUAAAGUGCUGGUUUCCUGUCCGGAUCGCCUUCCCCCGGGCGGCAAGGCCCGACCAGCACGGCACCAUAACAGCCUGCCCCAGUCUGGCUAGCUAGGUGGGUCGAGAUGAGACUCCAUCCUCUCACUCCCCACUCUCAGGAAUGUGGCUUGAUCCCUCUCAGGCAUCUCCCUUAUACCUUGGACGUAGGCUUUGAGGAGCGCCCCCUCCUGGCUGAACUCUGGGGUCCUGGAAGAAAUAGGACCUCAGCGUGGAGUGAGAACAGAAGAGCCAGGAAAAACAGAGUCCACGGGGCGCCUGAAGCCGUCGCCCCCACAGCCUUGCUAAGAAGGAGACUCGAACCUGGGGAGAUGCACGUGCUGAGGGCUCCGGGGGCAUUUUUUUUUUUAAUUUUUAUUUUUUCUGAGACAGGGUCUUGCCCUGUUGCCGAAGCUGGAGUGCGAUGGUGCAAUCAGCUCACUGCAGCCUCAACCUCCCAAACUCAAGGGAUCCUCCCACCUCAGCUUCCCGAGUAACUGGGACUCCAGGCGCGCGCCACCACGCGCGGCUAAUUUUUAAAUUGUUAUAUUUUGUAGAGACGGGGGGCUCACUAUGUUGCCCAGGCUAGUCCCCAACCCCUGGGCUCAAGCGAUCCUACCCCCUCGGCCUUCCAAAGUGCUGGGAUCACAGGCGUGAGCCACCGAACCCGGCUAGAGGAUUCUUCUGCAGCCCAACAGCGGCGGCAAAAGCUAAGGGUCCUAGAAAGGAACGGGAAACCGUCACCUGCCCAGGUGGGACGCGAGGCACGGAACCCAGCGCGGGAGGCCGCUGGGUCACGGAGGUUUCCUGUCUGCUUCCCGCCGUCACUGCGGGCCGCCUCCCACCUUCUCCCGGCCCCCUGCACCCCAGCCCAGCCCAGCCCACCUACCCCUGGUGGGGACACAGUUUUCUUCCCGGGGCGCCUCGCAGCUCCUGCAGUCCCUCCCUCUUCCCCACCCCCACCCCCACACUUUGGGCAGGAGUCACAACAAUUUCUUGCCCCAGUUUGGCCGCUCCGGCUCUGUGCCACACCCUCCAACGGGGCUGGAUGCCCAGGGUCUGCUGCCUCCAUGGGAUCUGGCUAGGCUCGAAGUUGGGGCUCAGCAAAGGUAUUUCGCGUGAAUGAGGAAUCCACAGGUCAGACCCGCUUCUACGGCCCUGAGUCGGGGCGGGUGCCUGGGCCAGGCACCCUGGCACUCAAGAGGUGCCAGGCUGGGGGCGUCCGCGGGUGGGCCUCUGACGCAGAGAAGGACCCGGAUCCAGCCACCGUCGGAGGCCUCCGGCUGCGCCUCGCCUUUGGGGCAGGCCUGAGGGCAACGCUUACUGCGCAGCAACUGUGUUCUACAGUGUAGUCCCGACACCGACGGCUCAUGGUCCUGGACUCUGCUUUAAUCUAGAAAUCCACUAAAGUAACAUCAGUGUGUUGCCCGGCUAGCUCAGUCGGUAGAGCAUGAGACUCUUAAUCUCAGGGUCGUGGGUUCGAGCCCCACGUUGGGCGCUGCGUUUUACUGCGAGCAUCACCACAAGGAUAGCAUUGUGAGUUUCUGUUCCAGCUGGGUCGAUUUUCUUCUCUCAGCCAUCUGCCCCUGGCGAUGCAAGACUUGGUGAAAGCAGCUGCCUGCUCAUCCCAGGAAACCAUCCGGGGUUCCUGAGCUGGGGGGCGUUUACUCCAAGUAUCGCUGUCGACCCCUUAUGGGGGCCCAUGGACGCGGUUCCCACCUGGAAGACCCGGAGAACAGCGGUUCCUUGCUCUUGUUAGCAGCGGCUGUGAGGAAGCUGCCCACUAAGGUUUUCCUCUUCUGGGACCACAGCAAGACUGUGCCCCAUUAAAAGAAGAAAGUCUGAGAACGUGGGUUUGUCCAGGAUUGGACUCUCUUGCACCCUAAGGAACAAUCACAGCCUAGACCAAGGAGCCACCCACAAAACCUUUCUCCACCCAUCUCUGGCCGUCCUUAUGCCCGGCUCCAUCCUUGUCCAGCAACACUGCUCAGACGCUGAUCCCCAGGGGGUCGUGUCGUCAUGUCAGGGGGUUUGACUAGGGUCCCAUCGAGUACAGAGGGAUGGGGAUCCCAAUGUUCACCAGUUUGGGAGUCCCAGUGUCUAGCUUCCCUGUCUCCCCCCCAGAUUAAAGGCCUCCCGCCCAGGGAGGUGGGUGCCUGAUUCUCCCAGAGGUGCCCAGUGCAGUCAGAGGGAGCGGGUCUUUGGGAGGCCAGGCUCUAAUCUCCCCAGUUGCCUGGCCUCCCUCCACCCUGAAACCACAGGAUUUCACAGGAUCUCUCCUGUGAAAUCUAGGGCAGGGGGUGCCUGCAUGCAGAGUUCUGAGGCUGGUGAUGGAGUGGUCAGAGAAUGGGAUGUUUGGCCGGGCGCAGUGACUCACUCCUGUAAUCCCAGCACUUUGCGAGGCCAAGGCGGGCGGAUCACGAGGUCAGGAGAUCAAGACCAUCCUGGCUAAUACGGUGAAACUCCAUCUCUACUAAAAAUACAAAAAAAUUACCCGGGCGUGGUGGCAGGCGCCUGUAGUCCCAGCUACUCAGGAGGCUGAGGCAGGAGAAUGGCGUGAACCC